CGGCUAGGUCCCCAUCUUGCUAAGUUGGGACUGCAACUUGAUGGUUUCCCUGGACAUUAGCUGUCACAGCUUGGGAUAAUGCCUAAAAGACAGCUCUCUACAUGGGACACAUUCUAAUUCAAACGAUCUGCAGGCUGAGGUGGCUGGUUAUCAUUUCUACAUGCAUUAGCUCGAUGAGAAGGCAUAAUCAACUGUCACGUGAAAGUACGAGUUAUAAAAAGAUAGAGAUACUAUAAGAACGAUAUAUCAUCAAAGAAAGAGAUGAUAUCCAAAGAACGUUCCG
rnacentral:lncRNA from 1 species